CUUACCUGGUCUUGACAUCCAGAGAAUCCUGCAGAGAUGCGGGAGUGCCUUCGGGAACUCUGAGACAGGUGCUGCAUGGCUGUCGUCAGCUCGUGUUGUGAAAUGUUGGGUUAAGUCCCGCAACGAGCGCAACCCUUAUCCUUUGUUGCCAGCGGUUAGGCCGGGAACUCAAAGGAGACUGCCAGUGAUAAACUGGAGGAAGGUGGGGAUGACGUCAAGUCAUCAUGGCCCUUACGACCAGGGCUACACACGUGCUACAAUGGCAUAUACAAAGAGAAGCGACCUCGCGAGAGCAAGCGGACCUCAUAAAGGUUCUAGUCCGGAUUGGAGUCUGCAACUCGACUCCAUGAAGUCGGAAUCGCUAGUAAUC
rnacentral:rRNA from 1 species